UACGGGGGGAGCAAGCGUUGUUCGGAUUUACUGGGCGUAAAGGGCGCGUAGGCGGCCACCGCAAGUCGACUGUGAAAUCUCCGGGCUUAACCCGGAAAGGUCAGCCGAUACUGCGGGGCUAGAGUGCAGAAGGGGCAACUGGAAUUCUCGGUGUAGCGGUGAAAUGCGUAGAUAUCGAGAGGAACACCUGCGGCGAAGGCGGGUUGCUGGGCUGACACUGACACUGAGGCGCGAAAGCUAGGGGAGCGAACGGG
rnacentral:rRNA from 1 species